rnacentral:rRNA from 1 species
AACGCGAAGAACCUUACCAGCUUUUGACAUGUCCGGUAUGGUCGUCAGAGAUGACUUCCUUCCCGCAAGGGGCCGGAACACAGGUGCUGCAUGGCUGUCGUCAGCUCGUGUCGUGAGAUGUUGGGUUAAGUCCCGCAACGAGCGCAACCCUCGCCCUUAGUUGCCAUCAUUUAGUUGGGCACUCUAAGGGGACUGCCGGUGAUAAGCCGCGAGGAAGGUGGGGAUGACGUCAAGUCCUCAUGGCCCUUACAGGCUGGGCUACACACGUGCUACAAUGGCGGUGACAAUGGGACGCAAUGGAGUAAUCCUGCGCAAAUCUCAAAAAGCCGUCUCAGUUCGGAUUGUGCUCUGCAACUCGAGCACAUGAAGUUGGAAUCGCUAGUAAUCGCAGAUCAGCACGCUGCGGUGAAUACGUUCCCGGGCCUUGUA